rnacentral:lncRNA from 1 species
CAAUUAUUCCUAUAAGUUUACUCACGGCAAUCGUUUAAGCAGAUGAAAGAAAAAACGCAUAUCAAUGGAUAAUUUUUGCAAUUGCAGAUAAACAAACCAACCUUUCGUCAUUAAUCUUCGGAGGCGAAUUACAUAUUCAUAUCCACAAUAAAAGAAUUAGUGAGACUCCCUUUCUUUUGAUAUUCCCCAUCUUAAUGAAUUUUGGAAGUCAACACAUUUCACGGGCCUGGUGAAAUGAAAAACUACGAAGAGGAAUUCACAUGGAUUUAGGAAAGGCCUGCUGUAUUUGUGUACAAGCUAAAGUUUUUUGAAAAACGAAUAUCUUUGGUCACUUUCAUUGUCAAAUAGGCUUUUCCUUCGUAUACCUUCCUUACCUCGACCUAGUGAAGCACAACAAAAAAAGGUAGUCUUCUUUUUCUGUAUUCAACCAAGAAAAACCCCUCCACCUGGAUUCGAAUCCUAAUACUAUACUAAUACUAUAUAAUACUAUACUAAUACUAUAUAUUAAAUAAUAAUUUAUUAAAUAAUAAUAAAAGGAAUAUACCAACAUAAGAUCUUCUAAAUCUUGAGAUGGAAAUUCCGAUACAUUCUCUUCUAUUUGAUUACUUGUUCUAUUCUAAAUCACUAAGAAAAAAAAAAUGCAAAUAAAGACCUCCUGAUUCUNACAAUUGCAGAUAAACAAACCAACCUUUCAUCAUUAAUCUUCGGAGGCGAAUUACAUAUUCAUAUCCACAAUAAAAAAACUAGUGAGACUCCCUUUCUUUUGAUAUUCCCCAUCUUAAUGAAUUUUGGAAGUCAACACAUUUCACGGGCCUAGUAAAAUAAAAAACUACGAAGAGAAAUUCACAUGGAUUUAGGAAAGGCCUGCUGUAUUUGUGUACAAGCUAAAGUUUUUUGAAAAAUAAAUAUCUUUGGUCACUUUCAUUGUCAAAUAGGCUUUUCCUUCGUAUACCUUCCUUACCUCGACCUAGUGAAGCACAACAAAAAAAGGUAGUCUUCUUUUUCUGUAUUCAACCAAGAAAAACCCCUCCACCUGGAUUCGAAUCCUAAUACUAU